UACGUAGGGUGCAGGCGUUAAUCGGAAUUACUGGGCGUAAAGGGUGUGUAGGUGGUUUGGCAAGUCGGUUGUGAAAUCCCCGGGCUUAACCUGGGAAUUGCUUCCGAUACUGCCAGACUAGAGUACGGUAGAGGGCGGUGGAAUUUCCGGUGUAGCGGUGAAAUGCGUAGAUAUCGGAAGGAACACCAAUGGCGAAGGCAGCCGCCUGGGCCUGUACUGACACUGAGACACGAAAGCGUGGGGAUCAAACAGG
rnacentral:rRNA from 1 species